rnacentral:rRNA from 1 species
AUAUAUAUCACCCUAAAUCCGGCCGAUCUCAUCCGGUCUCGGAAGCUAAGCAGGGUCGAGCCUAGUUAGUACUUGGAUGGCAGAAUCAGAAUCUUUAUUUAUC